rnacentral:lncRNA from 1 species
UGUCGCCGGCCGGCCGCGACCUGCGGGCUCCCACCCUCGCGGCCCGCGGCCCGCCAACACCCAGCCUCGGAGCGGGCAAGAGGAGGCGAGUGGCUCGUCAGUCCGCGAUCGCGGCCCGGCGCCCCGCCGCUCACCUGCCAGCUGUCUUCGCAGUAGCAGUGCCGACUGCAGCUCCGUCAUCCUCCCCACCAAGAGCCCGGGCUGCCGCCGGGACUUCGACGGAUGGGGGACAAGCUCUGACGGUGGCUGAAGCUAGGUGUGUUGAGGAACCCGGGCCCCGCGACUGGAGCGCCGAAGCCGCGGGAGGCCGGUCUUGGGAGACCCGAGAAGCACCUCGCUGCCUAUGCGAGUCCGCUCCGCUCGGCUUUCCUCUCAGCGGCUCACGCCCGGAAGGGGAGGGUACCCGGGCCGCCGCGGCGCGCACUGGGACUUCGCUCGCCCGCUUCCCUCCUCAGCCCGCCCGUCGGCCCCACCGGUGCCUUCCCCCGCCACUGCCUCACUGCGCGCAGGGCCGCUCCGCGCAAGCGCGCUGAGCCUGCCUACUUCAGAAGCGGCACGCCUGCUAGCCCGACCCCUCGGCCCUGCUGCCCCGCCUCCGGCGUCGGAACCCCGCCCACCGCGCGCAGUGGGCUCAGCCCCGCCAUCUUGGGAAGGUCCACGCCCGCCCAGCUGCGAAAGCGUCGGCUAUUAGACGCCCCGCGGACGCCAUGACAAAGAGGUCGCGGAGGGUCAGGACGCUGCCUCCCGAUAUAAGCAGCCGGUCUGAGAGUGAUGGGACCAGAAGUGGUAGAUGUUGACGAGAACCUACAGCCAUCCAACAUUACAUCCGAGGUGUGCGAAUUAGUCAUUGUUAUAAAGCCGAACUUACUACUCGUGUGCCCCAUUUUAAACAGCCACAAAACAGAGUGCAUGGUGGUAAUUAAUAAAGAAUGCACAGAAUGGUCCUUGAAAUAAAAUGUUAUGAAUCUCAUAGCAGAAAACGUUUUAAUAAAUAGACUGUGAGUAAAGUGCAGAGUUGUGAUUAGCACAACCUGAUACAUGGUUCAGAUUCAGGUGGUAUUUGCCUGUAAUCCCAAUACUAAGGCUGAGGCAGGAGGAUUGGGAGAAGACCCCAGACAUGCUUUGCUACAUAGUGAGACCCAAUCUCCAUCUGGGGGUGGGGAUCCAUAAUAGAUCAGACACCUUUGAUCAAGAAAGGCACCUACCAUGUAAAGUCCAAGUGUGAAAUCCAAGAUUAGGAAAAGUCAACCGUAUCCAACCUUCUUGUGGAUUUCCCAGUUUUGUGCUUUGUCAACACUGUAGCAAUAAACAGAGAAAGGGGAAGAAAAAAAAUAA